rnacentral:rRNA from 1 species
AGUGAACGCUGGCGGUAGGCCUAACACAUGCAAGUCGAACGGCAACACAGUAAGAGCUUGCUCUUACCGUUGGCGAGUGACGGACGGGUGAGGAAUACAUCGCCAUCUACUUUUUCGUGGGGGAUAACGUAGGAACACUUACGCUAAUACCGCAUACGACCUACGGGUGAAAGCAGGGGAUCUUCGGACCUUGCGCGAUUGAAUGAGCCGAUGUCGGAUUAGCUAGUUGGCGGGGUAAAGGCCCACCAAGGCGACGAUCUGUAGCUGGUCUGAGAGGAUGAUCAGCCACACUGGAACUGAGACACGGUCCAGACUCCUACGGGAGGCAGCAGUGGGGAAUAUUGGACAAUGGGCGCAAGCCUGAUCCAGCCAUGCCGCGUGGGUGAUGAAGGCCUUCGGGUUGUAAAGCCCUUUUGUUGGGAAAGAAAAGCAGCAGGUUAAUACCCCGCUGUUCUGACGGUACCCAAAGAAUAAGCACCGGCUAACUUCGUG